UCAUGUUACAGCUCUUUUAGAAUUUGUCUAGCAGGUUUAACUGUUUGUACCAGAAAUGCCUCC
ensembl:snRNA U7 U7 small nuclear RNA